rnacentral:rRNA from 1 species
CAGCAGCCACGGGAAUACAGAGGGUGCAAGCGUUAAUCGGAAUUACUGGGCGUAAAGCGCGCGUAGGUGGUUUGUUAAGUUGGAUGUGAAAGCCCCGGGCUCAACCUGGGAACUGCAUCCAAAACUGGCAAGCUAGAGUACGGUAGAGGGUGGUGGAAUUUCCUGUGUAGCGGUGAAAUGCGUAGAUAUAGGAAGGAACACCAGUGGCGAAGGCGACCACCUGGACUGAUACUGACACUGAGGUGCGAAAGCGUGGGGAGCAAACAGGAUUAGAUACCCCCGUAGUCCCUGUCUCUUAUAA